UGGAGACGGACUGGCCUGGAAUCGUUUA
rnacentral:piRNA from 1 species